rnacentral:rRNA from 1 species
AGCGUAGGUGGCCUAACAUGUCAACUGUGAAAACCCGGAGCUCAACUCCGGGACUUGCAGUUGAAACUGGUAGGGCUUGAGGACGGUAGAGGAACGACGGAACUGCCAGUGUAGGGGGUAAAAUCCUUAGAUAUUGGCAGGAACGCCGGUGACGAAGGUGGUUUUCUGGGCCGGUUCUGACACUGAUGCUCGAAAGCCAGGGGAGCGAACG